CUUCAAACAAAAACAAAGAAAGUAUAUAACGAAGUAGGCUGUAUAUACCUUGCAACGAGAGCAUAAUUUCACACCAUGAAAGGUGAAAUUGUCUAUAAGGAUCUCUGUCCAUAAGUCCUCAGCAAAUGGUUCACAUCCAUCAACCAAGAUGCUGUGACAAGAAAGUUGAUCAAGUGUUGUUACAAAGCAAUAAUUUGAAACAAACAUACUUGGGUCUGAAUCGGCUGAUCGGUACAGGCUUCUUGAGAAGCUCAUUCAGGGCAUCAAGGGAACCCUAUAAAACGUAAUGUAACUAUUCUGAGCAGAACAAGAACCCAAGCAACUUCCUCGUUCAUGGUGACUGACCUGUGAUAUAAGCAAGAAAGGGUACAUAUCUGAGAACAUCGCAAAGUGACCUGGAGCGUAGUUUGGAUCCACAGGUCUUGUCUCAGAGUCUGCAAAACAAACAGCAAAGCACGCAUGAAGCUAAAGCUAUAAAAGGAUCAACUGAUUAUGACAUGAAAAUGUAAAAAACCUGAAUCAAAACGAACAAGUCGACAAGGCUUCCCAACAAAAGUUGUAAACCAGUUAGAGGCUUCCUCUCCUUCAUCAAGUGCGGAGCCAAACCACUCCCAGACUGAGACACCAUCGGCUAUUUUCUCAGGUUUAGCUAGUGAAACCAUAAGUACAUCCAUGCCAGGAGCUCUAACCACUGUAACACACACCCCCAAACAGAGAUGAGAAAAAAAAAAGAAUAUCUUAAAAAUUCAGUUGAAGAAUAAAAAGACAAAAUCUUACCCAUGUUAGAGUUGUUGUCGGGCUCCCAGUCCUGUGCAAACGCAUGUUUAGGCAUUUCAACUUCAAUCAAGGAAAGCUUUGGUUCCACUCUUUGAGUCAAUCCUCUUCCUUUAGAGUUCACAAUCAACCAGUUUCUAUCCCAUCGAAACCCUAACCAACCAAUCACACACAGACGUAUGCUUAAUGAUGAAGCAGUGAAGGAUCAACAGAGUGUGAAUACUGUGGAGUUAAAUGCAGAAAAAUAAAUGCAGAGUAAAGAUAUAGAAGAGUUGACUGGAGAAUAAACUGAUAUUUUCAACGAGUCAGAUUAAUUGCCACAAUUUUGACCUAACCACAAACAUAAAAUCACAUUGAUGGGAGAGUCUAAUCCAGUGAAUCAGAAAUGUUACUGUUAUGCAGUAUACCAGAAAGAUAAGAUUGAUAAAAUAGUCAAGGAGUUAUUACAGGCUGGGACAAUUCAACCUAGUUAUAGUACUUACGCUUUCCCGGUGGUACUAGUCAAGGAGAAGGAUACCCCAUGGAGGCUCUGUGUAGAAUAGAUAACGCUCAACAGUAUGACAAUUAAGGACAAGUUUCCUAUUCCUUAAAUAGAAGAUUUAAUGGUACGAGUUAGGAGGAUCCAGAGUAUACUCAAAGAUUGAUCUGCGAGCAAGUUAUCAUCAAGUUAGAAUGGUACUUGAGGACAUUCGUAAAACAACAUUUCGUACGCAUAAUGGUCAUUAUUAGUAUGUGGUGUUGUCUUUUGGGCUAACUAAUUCUCUAGCCAUUUUUCAAGGCUAGAUGAAUAAUGUUUUCAGAGACUAAUUGUGGAAGUUUGUCCUUAUUUUCUAUGACGACAUAUUGAUCUACAGCCCUAAUAUGACUGAGCAUCUUGUUUAUCUCAUGGUGGUAUUUGAACUGAUGAAGCAUAAUCAAUUGUAUGCUAAAAAGAGCAAGUGUCCUUUUGUAACAGCACGAGUACUGUAUUUGGGACACUUCAUUAAAGGAGUAUCAAUUGUGUAAACAUACCUGCGAAGACCAAGAGGCAUCCGAAAAUGAAUUGUUUAUUCCAUUAUGAGCUUCCACCUUGUGAAAAGCCAUGACCUAGGGGUGGGCAUUCGGGUUCGGAUCAGGUAUUUCAGAUUUUUGAGUAUUUCGGUGUAGAGGUAUAUAACCCGUUCGGGUAUUUCUGUAAUUCGGGACGGGUUCGGAUAUUUUUUGUUCAUAUUUAGCUAUUUCGGAUCGGGUUCGAAUAUUUAGAUUUUGAAAGAAAAAAACAUUAAAAUUAAAAUUUCAUUUUUCAAUUUUCUUGUAUUUAAAAAUAUAACUUUCACUUUACUAAUUUUUUUUUUUAUUUUUAAUAGAUAGAAUGGUUAAUAGAUUUGGACAUAACAUUUUAAAACUAAAAAAGACACUAAUUUGGUUAUUAUUUUUAAAUUUUGGAUGUAACUUUUGUUAAUUCUUGAAACAAAAACUUUACAUGCAUUUUAAGUAAGUAGCAAAUCAUUUCUCCCGUAAUUAUAUGUAGAUUAUAUGAACUUAAAGUAUAUAUAGUAUCAAUAUAAAUAUUUGAAAUAAAAUGAGAGAUAUAAACUAGAAAUAUAAGGUUAGUAAUACAUAUAUGUUCGGUUAUCUUCUGAUAUCCAUUCGGGUUAUUACCCGUUCGGGUUCAGAUAUCCAAUCUCUCAUAAUUCAAUACCCGUUCGGAUAUUUUGCUACUUUGGUUGGGAUUUCGGUUCGGGUUUUUCGGAUUGGGUUCGGAUACGGGUUUAGGUAUCGGGUAAAAUGCCCACCCCUAGCCAAAGGUUUGGUACUUCAGAACCAUGAGCCAUUUUGACUACUCUUAACAGACCAAAUGGAUCCUUUCCUAAUCAAGUGUUUCUUUACCCAAUUAACCCAUAAGGAAUAAUUACUUGAGAGAAUUUUUCAAAGUAGCUUUAAGCAACAGACUAUCUCUUUUAAGGGUCUCAGACUUAAUCAUCCUUCUGUCUUUAGCUUGCAUAUGUCGUUCGAACUGACUUUAGCCUUUUUUACAUUCAUUUUCGAGCCAUAACAUAAGAAGGCAGAGCAAAGUUUUUCAAUCUCUUCCAAGCAUUUACCCGAAAGUCUAAAAGCUGAUAACCAGAAAUUUGUUGUGAUUCUUUUCUAAGAACUUAACACACUGCUGGUUACUAGAGUUCAUUGUUGGAGAAAAUUCUUCUUAAUCCAUAAUCUUCUACAAUUUGAGCUAUGAAUCCACGUUUAAUGAAUGUUAAUUCGAUCAUAAAGGUGAACAUGUUUACUUUUAUCACAAGUCGUUCAUGUCCCUAGGCAAAUAGAUUCUUCCAAAAGGAAAAUACAUGGAACCAUUGCCGACUAAACUCAUAAUCAAUAUAUCGUGGAGAUUGCCGGCGAAGUAACUUGCUAGGUGUCGUAAAGUUUCGAAGACAUGGGGUUCUAUGCUUGAUUUUACACCUUGUAAGCCAUGUAGAGGAUCUUGUUAGCCAUGCGAAGCAACUCGAGUCGAGCAUAUCUAUUUUAAAGCAAUGGGCAACGUCAUUUGUUUCUCUAUCUUGGCGAUUUUCAUAUUUUCUGUCGGGUUUGUAUUUACAUUCCCUAGUUGUGUUACAUGUUACUUGGGAGCACACUAAUGUUUUAACCAAUAUUAAUAGGCUUUUCAUAAUGAUAAAGUUUAAAGGUUUGGGUUUGAUUGUCAGUAGAAAUGAUAUAUACAAGUGCUCUGAUAAAGCUUGGUGUCCUCGGAUAAACUUGCACAAUGUACAGAAUGCACAUUUUCUUGUUUUUUCAAGUUGCUGCUUCAGUAGGAGAGGAGAGUUUUCCAAGGACAAAAACAGAAUCACCAAUCUCGAUUGUUUUUGUUAUUCCAUCCCCAAACCCAUCUUUCAAAACCAUGUUCUGUCCAAAGUAUAUCUGCAUCAUCAUCAUCAUCAUUCAAAACUCCCAUAUUCAAUCAUUAUGACGAUAAACCCAACAAUGUUUUUUGAGUACCUUUCCCUGUGGUUUCUUCUGUGGCUGUAAGACUUUGUCUGAUCUGAAACUCCUCAGAGUCUCAAUUGGCUCUUCACCUCCAAUUCCAGUGUCUUGAUUUAUCGUCGGUACCUGAUCAUCCAAAACAAUUUAAAAGCUUACCCUUCAAACAAAAACAAAGAAAGUAUAUAACGAAGUAGGCUGUAUAUACCUUGCAACGAGAGCAUAAUUUCACACCAUGAAAGGUGAAAUUGUCUAUAAGGAUCUCUGUCCAUAAGUCCUCAGCAAAUGGUUCACAUCCAUCAACCAAGAUGCUGUGACAAGAAAGUUGAUCAAGUGUUGUUACAAAGCAAUAAUUUGAAACAAACAUACUUGGGUCUGAAUCGGCUGAUCGGUACAGGCUUCUUGAGAAGCUCAUUCAGGGCAUCAAGGGAACCCUAUAAAACGUAAUGUAACUAUUCUGAGCAGAACAAGAACCCAAGCAACUUCCUC
rnacentral:lncRNA from 1 species